rnacentral:rRNA from 1 species
AUUGAACGCUGGCGGCAGGCCUAACACAUGCAAGUCGAGCGGAUGAAGGGAGCUUGCUCCUGGAUUCAGCGGCGGACGGGUGAGUAAUGCCUAGGAAUCUGCCUGGUAGUGGGGGAUAACGUCCGGAAACGGGCGCUAAUACCGCAUACGUCCUGAGGGAGAAAGUGGGGGAUCUUCGGACCUCACGCUAUCAGAUGAGCCUAGGUCGGAUUAGCUAGUUGGUGGGGUAAAGGCCUACCAAGGCGACGAUCCGUAACUGGUCUGAGAGGAUGAUCAGUCACAUGGGAACUGAGACACGGUCCAGACUCCUACGGUACGCAGCAGUGGGGAAUAUUGGACAAUGGGCGAAAGCCUGAUCCAGCCAUGCCGCGUGUGUGAAGAAGAUCUUCGGAUUGUAAAGCACUUUAAGUUGGGAGGAAGGGCAGUAAGUUAAUACCUUGCUGUUUUGACGUUACCAACAGAAUAAGCACCGGCUAACUUCGUG